rnacentral:lncRNA from 1 species
AUAUAUAUAUACAGAAUUGAGCUCCUAUGCUUUUAAAAGUACAAAGUCAUUGGUGCUUGUACAUUUGUAGCCUUUGGAUUAAGAGGUACGCAGUUAGGAUCGAUGAUAGUGGUCCCCUAGAGUUGAAUGUGUGGUUGGUUGAAUAGUAUAAUCUAACGGAUAGAAAUGAUUAAAGAGAUAAAUCUAACAGUAGAAAAAUUACAAGCACCAAGUGCUUGGUGCUUGUACAAGCACCAUAGCCAGACUCAAUAUAUAUAUAUAUAGAGAGAGAGAGAGAGAGAGAGAGAGAGAGUUCGGCUAGGAUACUAUCGAUGGCACCAAGGGUUUGGUGCUAUCGAGUUUUCCACCGUUAGAUUUAAUUCAUUGAUUAUUUUUACCCGUUAGAUUAUAUUAUUCAACCACCCACCCACUCAUAAGAGCUAAAAAAUUAAUAGCACCAAUAGCUGCUUGGUGCUAUAUAUAUAUAUAUAUAUAUAUAUAUAUAUGAGUAAGGCUACUAUGCUAUCGGAAGCACGGAGUCUUCCGUGCUUCCAGCUCGUUUUCGAUGUUGCGACUUUCGAAUCGUCGAUCGACUCCGUUAAACUUGAUCUAGAGUAUUUAAAGUAGCUAGAAAAUAAAUUAUGCGAUUUUUCGAUAUUAUUUACCUAGUGAAUGAAGGUGCUCAAAAUCAACGGCUGAAAAUAAAAAUCUUACAAAAUGUGAUAAUAUGACAUUAAAAAAUAUCAAAAUCACGUGAAAUUUUGAUAGAAAAUUCUUUAUACUAUAUAAAACAAGAUCAAUAUCUUUGACCUAAAAUUUUAAUGUCAUAUUAUCACAUUUUGUAAGAUUUUUAUUUUAAGCCGUUGAUUUUGAGCACCUUCAUUCACUAGGUAAAUAAUAUCGAAAAAUCGCAUAAUUUAUUUUCUAGCUACUUCAAAUACUCUAGAUCAAGUUUAACGGAGUCGAUCGACGAUUCGAAAGUCGCAACAUCGAAAACGAGCUGGAAGCACGGAAGACUCCGUGCUUCCGAUAGCAUAGUAGCCUUACUCAUAUAUAUAUAUAUAUAUAUAUAUAUAUAUAUAGCACCAAGCAGCUAUUGGUGCUAUUAAUUUUUUAGCUCUUAUGAGUGGGUGGGUGGUUGAAUAAUAUAAUCUAACGGGUAAAAAUAAUCAAUGAAUUAAAUCUAACGGUGGAAAACUCGAUAGCACCAAACCCUUGGUGCCAUCGAUAGUAUCCUAGCCGAACUCUCUCUCUCUCUCUCUCUCUCUCUCUCUAUAUAUAUAUAUAUUGAGUCUGGCUAUGGUGCUUGUACAAGCACCAAGCACUUGGUGCUUGUAAUUUUUCUACUGUUAGAUUUAUCUCUUUAAUCAUUUCUAUCCGUUAGAUUAUACUAUUCAACCAACCACACAUUCAACUCUAGGGGACCACUAUCAUCGAUCCUAACUGCGUACCUCUUAAUCCAAAGGCUACAAAUGUACAAGCACCAAUGACUUUGUACUUUUAAAAGCAUAGGAGCUCAAUUCUGUAUAUAUAUAUAAUAUUUCUAUAUAUUUUUCAAGCUUUAACGAACUCAAAAUUUAAGUAUGUGUUUUAGAUUAAAAGUAUCGAAAUUUUAAUUCACUUUUAAUUAUAUAAUCAAAUAUUUUACAUAUACAUUGAACAUUUCUGUAUGUUUUUUGAAUCCUGCCGAGUUCAAAAUUCGUUUUCAGGCGAUGAGGGGGGCAUUGUUGACAUGAAAAUUCAGGAUUUCUAAGACGCAAGCUGACCUGAACCGUUACUGCUUAAUAAGAUAGACAAACUUGAAUCAGAAGGAAGGAAAAAGUUUAAACUGUUACAUCAAACGAUNAUCAAGUCUAACGGAGCCGAUCGUCGAUUUGGAAGCCGCAUCAUCGAAAACAACUUGGUAGCACGGGAGGCCCCGUGCUACCGAUAAUAUAGCAGCUGGGCUAUAUAUAUAUAUAGUGCAGAGCUACUAUGCUAUCGGAAGUAUAGAGAAUCUGAUGCUUUCAACUUUUUGACCAUUGGAUAAAAAAUUAUACGGUUGGGAUGAUUGCUGGCCCCCCAGGGUUGAGUAAUACCCAUAGGGUUGAGUGGUCCCCAUAGGUUAAUAGUAUUAAUCCAAAGGUUAGAAAUAAUUAAAGGGGUUGAUCUAAGGGCCAAAAAAUCGAAAGCACAAGAUCCUCUAUACUUCCGAUAGCAUAGUAGCUCUACUAUAUAUAUAUAUAGACAGAGAGUGGGCUGGUUUGCUUCUGGAAGUACGGAGCCCUUAGUGCUUCCAAGUUGUUUUCGAUGUUCGGACUUUCGAAUCGACGAUCAGCUCCGUUAGAGUUGAUCUAGAAUAUUUGAAGUACCUAGAAAAUAAAUUUUGUGAUUUUUCGAUAUCAUUUGCUUAGUGAUCGAAGGGGCUCAAAAUUAAUAAUUUUAAUGGCCGUGGUGAGCCGUUUGCAAGUUUAACGGUGUAGAAAUAUCCAAAUCACAUGAAAUUUUGAUAGAAAAUUCUUUAUACCAUAUAAAACAAGAUCAAUAACUUUGAUCUAAAAUUUUAAUGUCAUAUCAUCAUAUUUUGUAAGAUUUUUAUUUUCAACCGUUGAUUUUGAGCCACUAAGAUUUUUAUUUUCAGCCGUUGAUUUUGAGCCACUUCGAUCACUAAGCAAAUGAUGUCGAAAAAUAGCAAAAUUUAUUUUCUUGAUACUUCAAAUACUCUAGAUUAAGUCUAACGGAACCGAUCGUCGAUNUAUAUAUAUAUAUAUAUAUAUAUAUAUAUAGAAUUAGGCUACUAUACUAUCUAUAGUACCGGAGCUCCG